rnacentral:rRNA from 1 species
GACGGAGGAUGCAAGCGUUAUCCGGAAUUAUUGGGCGUAAAGCGUCCGCAGGUGGUUUUUCAAGUCUGUUGUCAAAGCGCGAGGCUCAACCUUGUAUAGGCGAUGGAAACUGAGAGACUAGGGUGCGGUAGGGGUAGAGGGAAUUCCCGGUGUAGCGGUGAAAUGCGUAGAUAUCGGGAAGAACACCAGUGGCGAAGGCGCUCUACUGGGCCUGCACUGACACUGAGGGACGAAAGCUAGGGGAGCGAAUGGG